AUCCUUCCUUUGUUCGCUGUGUAGUUGGGGGGGGGACAAUUUUCUGGGGAGUUGCUCCCGGAAAAACGUCCAGGAAAUCGGGAAAAGUGGGGAUUCAAUACUAAGAGUGUUUGAAAAGUGUUCUCUAGACCUUGAGAUUCGUUUUGAUGUAAUUUUUAUGUGUGUGCACCUGUUUUUUCGAGGGUAAAUCUCGAGACAUAACCUCACUUAUUGGCCCUCUGGAAGUUACCGAGUCCAGAGGUCAAACAGGGACAGAAGAUAUCAUAUAAGAAAAGGACAAAGAGAUAAUCAAAAGAGAAGGAAUCUCAAGGCACACGUGAUUCCUCUCGAGUCGUCCCUUUAAGCAGGAUGGAAAACAAACGAAGACUGGAAAUGCCCCUCGGAGGCCAGAGAAAUCCAGAAGCCUGCGGUGACGACGUUCAUUUGUUUCUCGAAGAAGCCAAGGGAGAGGGGGCAGCAGAGGAGCAGAUGAUCUUUGAUGCAUUUUUCUUUUGUUUGUUUUUCCUCACAAAAAAUGUAUUUUUAUUUAUAUUUUUUUUAUUAUUAUGUAUUUUUCUUUUGAUUAAUUGAUAAUAAAGUAAGCGGCAGUU
rnacentral:lncRNA from 1 species